rnacentral:rRNA from 1 species
CAGUCGCCGCGGGAAUACGAAGGGGGCUAGCGUUGCUCGGAAUGACUGGGCGUAAAGGGCGCGUAGGCGGAUUGUUUAGUUAGGCGUGAAAUUCCUGGGCUUAACCUGGGGACUGCGCUUAAUACAGGCAGUCUAGAGUGAGGAAGAGGGUUGUGGAAUUCCCAGUGUAGAGGUGAAAUUCGUAGAUAUUGGGAAGAACUCCGGUGGCGAAGGCGGCAACCUGGUCCUUGACUGACGCUGAGGCGCGAAAGCGUGGGGAGCAAACAGGAUUAGAUACCCCGGUAGUCCCUGUCUCUUAUAC